rnacentral:rRNA from 1 species
CGCGAAGAACCUUACCUGGUCUUGACAUCCACAGAAUAUUCCAGAGAUGGGAUGGUGCCUUCGGGAACUGUGAGACAGGUGCUGCAUGGCUGUCGUCAGCUCGUGUUGUGAAAUGUUGGGUUAAGUCCCGCAACGAGCGCAACCCUUAUCCUUUGUUGCCAGCGGUCCGGCCGGGAACUCAAAGGAGACUGCCAGUGAUAAACUGGAGGAAGGUGGGGAUGACGUCAAGUCAUCAUGGCCCUUACGACCAGGGCUACACACGUGCUACAAUGGCGCAUACAAAGAGAAGCGACCUCGCGAGAGCAAGCGGACCUCAUAAAGUGCGUCGUAGUCCGGAUUGGAGUCUGCAACUCGACUCCAUGAAGUCGGAAUCGCUAGUAAUCGUGGAUCAGAAUGCCACGGUGAAUACGUUCCCGGGUCUUGUACACACC